rnacentral:rRNA from 1 species
AGAGGAUGCUUUUGGUUAGGUGCCUUACGAGUUCCCUGGAACGGGACGCMUUAGAGGGUGAGAGCCCCGUACGUUUGGUUACCGAGCCUCUGUAAAGCUCCUUCGACGAGUCGAGUAGUUUGGGAAUGCUGCUCUAAAUGGGAGGUAAAUUUCUUCUAAAGCUAAAUACCGGCCAGAGACCGAUAGCGCACAAGUAGAGUGAUCGAAAGAUGAAAAGCACUUUGAAAAGAGGGUUAAAUAGCACGUGAAAUUGUUGAAAGGGAAGCGUUUAUGACCAGACUUUUUCCUAGCGGAUCAUCCGGCGUUCUCGCCGGUGCACUUCGCUAGGUUUAGGCCAGCAUCGGUUUUCGCAGGGGGAUAAAAGCAGUGGUAAUGUGGCUCCCUCCGGGGAGUGUUAUAGACCGCUGUAUAAUACCCUUGCGGGGACCGA